GUCCCCUUCGUCUAGAGGCCUAGGACAUCGCCCUCUCACGGCGACAACAGGGGUUCGAAUCCCCUAGGGGACGCCA
rnacentral:tRNA from 1 species